rnacentral:rRNA from 1 species
GACAGAGGUGCCGAGCGUUAGGCGGAAUCACUGGGCUUAAAGCGUGUGUAGGCGGGUCGUUAAGUGCCUUGUGAAAUCCCAUCGCUCAACGAUGGAACUGCUGGGCAUACUGGCGAUCUUGAGCCGGCUAGGGGCGACUGGAACAAGCGGUGGAGCGGUGAAAUGCGUAGAUAUCGCUUGGAACGCCAAAGGUGAAAACAGGUCGCUGGGGCCGCGCUGACGCUGAGACACGAAAGCCAGGGGAGCGAACGGG